CUUCCCACGCAGGAUCUCUGUCCUUAAUGUGUUUUACUAUGAAACUCAAAAACAACACUACUAGUUGAACAAUACCCUAUGCCUGGUUCUGUUGUGUGAGUGCAACCUGUUGAAAUCCCUGCUUAGUAUAUACUAAGUUGAUCUUCAGUAUAUGAAGGAAUUAAUGGUUCAGGAGUCCAGAAGAAUGGGUGGUGGAUAAUGCAAGCACUAGUGCAGACUUGAGUCUUCCUUUGGCCCAAGAAAGACAAAUUAACUUUCAUGUCUCAGGAAGAGUAUAAUAGAGGUGAACCAAAGAGCAAACAAGAUAACUCACAAAUUGAGGUUCAAAUUUCAGUAUGAUCAUGUGUAGCCAGAGAUCUAUAGUGAACUCAUGGAGGUUAGGUCUUAACUGAUUUCUGUCCACAAUGUCAAAGAACAAAGGCUUUCAGGAUCAAGAGAUUCCAGGCCAAAAGACAAAAACAAAAUCACUCCAUUCCCCAACAGAUUUUCAUGAAAACUGAUAAUAAAAUGCAGGUGCAGCUCCAAGAAGGGACAUUGCAGAAGAAUCAUGUUUGGCCUGUAAGAAAUUGUACAGGAGAUGAUAUGCUUAUCUGUGCUUUAUCAAGGUCACCUUCAUCUUAACCUUUUCAACCUGAAAUGUUACCAUCAGCUGUACCACUGCACAUGUUUCACUGGAGAGUGAGUAAAGAUUUGAGGAGCUUUGGUUGUAAUCAGAAUUGGCAGUUUUAAAAUGAAGUAAUGACCUCAGAAGGCCUUUCUUGACCAUUUUUCCCAGCACAUAACUUCUCCAACAGAUAGAGCUCCUUUUGAAGGGUAAGUGGGACUCCAUAGUGUAUAUAUAUACCAUAAUUUCCUUAUCCAGUCAACAGUUGAUGGACAUCUGGGUUGAAUCCAUAUCUUAGCUAUUGUGAAUUGAGCUACAAUGAACAUUACUCACAUUUCUAGGUGCAAAUGGUAUUUGCAACAAAACAUAUAAUAAAGAGAACAUCUCAGAUGCUAUGCCGUUUUCCUCACUGGAAUUUAGCUAGGCUAUUGGAGCUUGGAGGUAGAUGAAGAGGACAGAAAUGGUAAGGAAGAGCCAAAGGUAAGUUAAUGUUAAAGCUAAGAGCUUAGCAAUCAAUUUUCCUUAUAAAAGUUAAAAAGGAACCAAGAGUUCAAAAGUUAUAUUAAUUUCCCAACUGACCAAGCAGUGAGUCAUGAGGAUUUAAAUUCAGCACUCCAGUUUCAAAUCUAAUGUUUCUUGUUUCUUGGUUAGCAGGUAUAUAACAUUUUAGUUCAUAAUUUAAAAUUAUUAAAGUUGUUGAACUAUUUAUUGAGUAGUUACUGUAUGCCAGACCACAUUUAAAUUUUUUUCCUCUACUGGUGCUAAUCCUCAUAUGUCUUUUUUUCCACUUCAAAAUUCUAAUUGACUUAUGAUAACUAUGUAUACUUACGGAGUAACUGUGCUGUUUAAAUACAUACAAUCUAUAAAUAUGCCAAAAGGAUAAUGACACAUCCAUCACUUUAAAUAUGUAUCAGAUCUUAUGUUUGGAAUGUUCAAAAUAUUCUUCAUUAGCUAUUUUGAAAUAAACAGCUAAUUAUUGUCAGUCAUAGUUAUCCCACUGUCCUAAAGAAUGUUAGAAGUGAUUCCUCCUAUCUGACUAUAUUCCUGUACCUUCUAACUCACCUCCCUCCAGCCUCUCCUCCCUUCAGCCCCACCCCCAGCCUCUAGUAAUGAUUAUGUUACUCUCUACUUAUAUGAGAUUAAUUUUUUUUUUGGUUUCCACAUAUAAGGUAGACAAUGAAGCUUUUGUUUUUCUAUACCUGACAUUGCAGUUAACAUAAUGCUCUUCCAGGCUCAUCCAUGAGCUGCAAAUGACAUUAUUUCCUUGUUUUCUAUGACUGAAUAUAUUUCACACUUUUUAUUCCGUUCAUCCAUUGAGAGACACUUAGGUUGAGUCCAUAUCUUGGCUAUUGUGAAUAGUGCUGCAAUAAAUAUGGAGGGGUGGAUAUCCAACAUGCUGAUUUCCUUUCAUUUGGAUAUUUACCCAGUGCUGGAAUUGAUGAUCAUAUUGCAGUUCUGUCUUUCUAUGUAUUUUUAAAAUACAUACUUUAUUUACUUGAAAAGCAGAGAUAUAGAGCUAUCUCCUAUUUGCUGGUUCACUCCUAAAAUGACCACAACCACAUAGCUCUGAGCCAGAUUGGAGCCCAGAGGUAGUUAGUCAAUCCCAGUGUUUCAUAUGGGUGGCAGUGACACAAGUACUUAAGCCAUAACCUCCUGCCUCCGAAGAUGCAUUUUACCAGCAAGUUUGGAAUUGGGAACAGAAUUUGGACUGAAAUCCAGGUACUCUGAUGCGGGAUGUAGGCAUUACAAGUGGAAUUUUAACCCCUAUGCCAGAUGCCCAUCCAUGCUUCUAAUAUUUUUUCAAGAAAUUCCAUACUGGUUUUCAUAGUGACUCUAGUAUUUCACAUUUAUAUAAACACCAUGCGAGAACUUCUCUUUUUCACUAGCAUCUGUGAUUAAUGUUAUUAUAAUUUUUACUUUAAAUCUUUUCAACUCAUACAUUUUAUAGGGCACAGUACAAUAUUUCAAUACAUAUAUGCAGUGGAAACUGAUUGUUUCCUCAUCUUAUCCUAGUGCUUGGAGACUACCAGCUGCUCUCGUCCAGAUUCGUUUUCUUUUUCUUCUUAAAAAUAUUUUAUUUAUGGUUUGUCUUUUCGAAAAAGCCAUUCCAAUUUGAGUAAGAAGACAUCACAUAGUGGUUUUGAUUUACAUUUCUGUGAUGACUAGUGAUGCUGAGCAUUUUUUCACAUACUUGUUGGACAGUUCACAACAGGCUUUUUAUAAAUUUUCUUAUUACUCCAUUUUAUAAAUGGAGAAACUCUGACCCAGUAUGACAAGUAGUGAAACAGAAAGAUUUUUAUUCAAAUCUGUAUUUAUCAGAUGGACUUUAGUCAUCACUGCUGCCUCUCAGGGUGUCCAUUAGUAGGAGACUGGAUUGGAAGUGGAGCCCGGACUGAAACCCAGAGACUUUUAUAAGUGAUAUAGGCAUCCCAAGUAGUGUCUUAGCUGCUGUGCCAAAUUCCUGCCCCUAAAUUGAUGUUCUGAAAUAUUAAAUUACACAUCAUUAUAGAUUUUUACAAUGUACAGCUUAAGAUUAUUAUUAGAAAGCAAUGAAUAUUAGAAUUUUAAUGCAAAAUCUAAAUAAUUACUAUGAAAAAUGUAGAAAUUCACAGAUAUCUUAUUAUGCUGUUAUUUUUCUUAAAGGACAAAAGUUAUGAUGUACAUGAUUGCAUCUACAUUGAAAAUAA